rnacentral:rRNA from 1 species
UACGGAGGAUGCAAGCGUUAUCCGGAAUGAUUGGGCGUAAAGCGUCCGCAGGUGGCUGUGUAAGUCUGCUGUCAAAGAGCGAAGCUCAACUUCGUAAAGGCAGUGGAAACUAACACGGCUAGGAGUGCGUUCGGGGCAGAGGGAAUUCCUGGAUGUAGCGGUGAAAUGACGUAGAGAGUCAGGAAGAACACCGGUGGCGAAGGCGCUCUGCUAGCCGCAACUGACACUGAGGACGAAGCUAGGGAGCGAAUGG